UAUCGAUAAACAAUUGGAGGGCAAGUCUGGUGCCAGCAGCCGCGGUAAUUCCAGCUCCAAUAGCGUAUAUUAACGUUGUUGCAGUUAAAAAGCUCGUAGUUGAAAUGAAGGGUAGUUGUGUAAUGAAUACAUUCGUGUAUUUUGUUAUUCUACUACCCUCCUUCUAAAUUCGAUAUAUGAGUAUUAAUUUACUUGUAUAUGGUUUUAGACGUUUACUGUGAGAAAAUUAGAGUGUUCAAAGCAGGCAUUUGCUUGAAUAUAUUAGCAUGGAAUAAUCAUGUAUGAUUUUCAUGAUGUAUUUGAUUGGUUUGGUUCAUGAGAAUAAGAUUAAAAGGGACAGUUGGGGGUAUUCAUAUUCAAUAGUCAGAGGUGAAAUUCUCGGAUUUAUGGAAGAUGAACAAGUGCGAAAGCAUUUACCAAGGAUGUUUUCAUUAAUCAAGAACGAAAGUUAGGGGAUCGAAGAGGAU
rnacentral:rRNA from 1 species